rnacentral:rRNA from 1 species
AACGAACGCUGGCGGCAGGCUUAACACAUGCAAGUCGAGCGCAUCCUUCGGGGUGAGCGGCGGACGGGUGAGUAACGCGUGGGAACGUGCCCUCUUCUACGGAAUAGCCUCGGGAAACUGAGAGUAAUGCCGUAUACGCCCGCAAGGGGAAAGAUUUAUCGGAGGAGGAUCGGCCCGCGUUGGAUUAGGUAGUUGGUGGGGUAACGGCCUACCAAGCCGACGAUCCAUAGCUGGUUUGAGAGGAUGAUCAGCCACACUGGGACUGAGACACGGCCCAGAAUCCUACGGGAGGCAGCAGUGGGGAAUCUUGGACAAUGGGGGCAACCCUGAUCCAGCCAUGCCGCGUGAGCGAUGAAGGCCUUAGGGUUGUAAAGAUCUUUCAGCUGGGAAGAUAAUGACGGUACCAGCAGAAGAAGCCCCGGCUAACUCCGUG